rnacentral:rRNA from 1 species
AGUGAACGCUGGCGGCAGGCCUAAUACAUGCAAGUCGAACGGCAGCACAGUGGAGCUUGCUCCAUGGGUGGCGAGUGGCGGACGGGUGAGGAAUACAUGGGAAUCUGCCCAGUCGUGGGGGAUAACGUAGGGAAACUUACGCUAAUACCGCAUGCGCCCUUCGGGGGAAAGCCGGGGACCGUAAGGCCUGGCGCGAUUGGAUGAGCCCAUGUCGGAUUAGCUAGUUGGCGGGGUAACGGCCCACCAAGGCGACGAUCCGUAGCUGGUCUGAGAGGAUGAUCAGCCACACUGGAACUGAGACACGGUCCAGACUCCUACGGGAGGCAGCAGUAGGGAAUAUUGGACAAUGGGCGCAAGCCUGAUCCAGCCAUGCCGCGUGAGUGAAGAAGGCCCUCGGGUUGUAAAGCUCUUUUGUCCGGAAAGAAAAGCACUGGGUUAAUACCCCGGUGUCCUGACGGUACCGGAAGAAUAAGCACCGGCUAACUUCGUGCCAGCAGCCGCGGUAA